rnacentral:rRNA from 1 species
UACGGGGGGAGCAAGCGUUGUUCGGAUUUACUGGGCGUAAAGGGCGCGUAGGCGGCCACCGCAAGUCGGUUGUGAAAUCUCUGGGCUUAACCCAGAAAGGUCAAUCGAUACUGCGGGGCUAGAGUGCAGAAGGGGCAACUGGAAUUCUCGGUGUAGCGGUGAAAUGCGUAGAUAUCGAGAGGAACACCUGCGGCGAAGGCGGGUUGCUGGGCUGACACUGACGCUGAGGAGCGAAAGCCAGGGGAGCAAACGGG